UAGGGAAACUCGCCUGAGUGGGGAGGGGGAAUAACUACGUAGGGAAAACGGUAGACUAACUACCGCAUAACGUCGCAAGACCAAAGAGGGGGACCCUCGGGCCUCUUGCCAUCGGAUGUGCCCAGAUGGGAUUAGCUUGUUGGUGGGGUAACGGCUCACCAAGGCGACGAUCCCUAGCUGGUCUGAGAGGAUGACCAGCCACACUGGAACUGAGACACGGUCCAGACUCCUACGGGAGGCAGCAUG
rnacentral:rRNA from 1 species